rnacentral:rRNA from 1 species
UCUGUAUCUGAAGUCAGGCAAGAGUACGCGCUGAACUUAAGCAUAUCACUAAGCGCAGGAUCAAAAAUAACUAUGAUUGCCUCAGUAGCGGCGAGCGAAGCGGCAAGAGCCCAAGAUGAAAAUUCCUGUCCUUUGGACUUGAAGAAUUGUAAUCUACAGGACGAUCGCUGACAGGCUCCCUGAAGCCCAAGUGUCUUGGAAUAGACUGCCAUGGAGGGUGAAAGCCCCGUACGGCAUCGGGGAAGCGCUAGGCGGCGUCUCAAGAGUCGAGUUGUUCGGGACUGCAGCUCUAAGUGGGAGGUAGACUUCUCCUAAGGCUAAAUAACUAUGAGAGACCGAUAGCGAACAAGUAAUGUGAAUGAAAGAUGAAAAAUUUACUAUCCGUAAGAACUUUGAAUUAUACAAACAAGAGAAUUAAAUAGACCUGAAACCGUUGAGGAGGAAGCGAUAGGACGUUUUCGUUUGGCAUCGAGCGAGCAAAGCAUAGACGAGCCUGCUCGCUGCCAAAAAGCAAGAUAGGCUCUACCCGCGUCACAACCGUCCACUGGGCCAGAGCUUCGGCAUCACUCAGGGAGCGGCCGUCGCGGGUGGGGUCGAGGGACUUCGUGUGAUCUUGCUAAACUUGAUAUUGUCCUACCGACCCGUCUUGAAACACGGAACAAGGAGUCUAACAAAUACGCGAUUAUGUUGGUGUUCUUUGAAACCAGACAUGAGCAAUGAAAGUAAGCGGUGCCAAUCGCAAGAUGCAGCAUCGGCCGAUUGUGAUCCUCUGGAGAAAUGUAUCGGCUACGAGCGUAUCUGUUAGGACCCGAAAGAUGGUGAACUACGCUUGGGUAGGGUGAAGCUAGGGGAAACUCUUGUGGAAGCCCGAAACGGUUCUGACGUGCAAAUCGAUCGUCAAACUUGAGUGUAGGGGCGAAAGACUAAUCGAACCAUCUAGUAGCUGGUUCCCUCCGAAGUUUCUCUCAGGAUAGCAAGGACAGUUAAAGCAGUUUUAAUUAGGUAAAGAAUAAAUGAUUAGAAGCAUCUGGGAGUUUUUAUUUUGCUCUCGACUUAGUUCUCAAACUCUAAAUAUUUGUAAUAACUCGGUAUUUCUUAAUUGAAGAUCGAGGCAGAAUGCUUGUCCUUAGUGGGCCAUUUUUGGUAAGCAGAACUGGCGAUGAGGGAUGAACCUAACUUUGAGUUAAGGUGCCCAACUGCACGCGCAUCAGAUACCACAAAAGGGUGUGUUGAUUCAUUUAGACAGCAGG